CCUUCCCCUAGAGGCACUGCAGGUGUGGCUGCUGUGUCACGUGUGCACCAGUAGGUGGCAGAGAGGAGAGAGGCCAUGUCUGUGCUAAGUGUUCUGACCUGUGAACAUCCCAAUGCUUAGUAGCUUAAUGCU